UACAGAGGUCUCAAGCGUUGUUCGGAUUCAUUGGGCGUAAAGGGUGUGUAGGUGGCGCCGUAGGUCGGGUGUGAAAUUUCGGAGCUUAACUCCGAAACUGCAUUCGAUACUGCGGUGCUUGAGGACUGGAGAGGAGACUGGAAUUCAUGGUGUAGCAGUGAAAUGCGUAGAGAUCAUGAGGAAGACCAGUGGCGAAGGCGGGUCUCUGGACAGUUCCUGACACUGAGGCACGAAGGCCAGGGGAGCAAACGGG
rnacentral:rRNA from 1 species